rnacentral:rRNA from 1 species
UACUCCUACGGGAGGCAGCAGUGGGGAAUAUUGCACAAUGGGCGCAAGCCUGAUGCAGCCAUGCCGCGUGUAUGAAGAAGGCCUUCGGGUUGUAAAGUACUUUCAGCGGGGAGGAAGGCGGUGAGGUUAAUAACCUCGCCGAUUGACGUUACCCGCAGAAGAAGCACCGGCUAACUCCGUGCCAGCAGCCGCGGUAAUAA